rnacentral:rRNA from 1 species
AAAGUGAAGAGUUUGAUCCUGGCUCAGAUUGAACGCUGGCGGCAUGGCUAAAACAUGCAAGUCGAACGCAUGGAGCAAUCCAUGAGUGGCGAAAGGGCGAGGAAUAGAUUCCUACAUACCCCAAAGUCAGGGAUACCCCGGAGAAAUCCGGAUCAAUACCUGAUGUGGUCGAGAGAUCAAAGAUUUAUCGCUUUGGGAGUGGGGAAUCUCCUAUCAGGUAGUUGGUGAGGUAAUGGCUCACCAAGCCGAAGACGGGUAGCGGGUGUGAGAGCACGGCCCGCCGCAUCGAGACUGAGACACUGCUCGGACUCCUACGGGAGGCUGCAGUAACGAAUCUUCCGCAAUGCGCGAAAGCGUGACGGGGCAAUGCCGCGU